rnacentral:rRNA from 1 species
CAGGGGGUGCUAGCGUUGUUCGGAAUUACUGGGCGUAAAGGGCGCGUAGGCGGUUUAGCAAGUCAGAUGUGAAAGCCCGGGGCUUAACUCCGGAAGUGCAUUUGAAACUGCUAGGCUAGAGUGCAGUAGAGGUUAUUGGAAUUCCCAGUGUAGAGGUGAAAUUCGUAGAUAUUGGGAGGAACACCAGUGGCGAAGGCGGAUAACUGGGCUGUAACUGACGCUGAGGCGCGAAAGCGUGGGGAUCAAACAGGAUUAGAUACCCUGGUAGUCCACGCCGUAAACGAUGGAUACUCGCUGUGGCUGGAAUUGACCCCGGCCGUAGCCAAGUUAACACGAUAAGUAUCCCGCCUGGGAAGUACGGUCGCAAGAUUA